AUGCAGAUGCAGUGCUGCUGCUGCUACUACUACUCCUGCUGUCUCUGUUGUGCCCAUGCCUCGGUUCAAUGGAGUCGCUGUACAAAGGUUCAGCUCGCACUUACUGCUGCAUUUACUGUUUUACGGAUGGAUGGCAUCCAUGGUUAUUUGAUUUUACUAGUACUCCUACUAGUACGUAAUUACUUCUGCGAUGGACAAGCAGCCGCCUCAUCGGAUGCUCCAGCGCCGAUCCGGGGAGGGAGCCAUCUGCAAUUCCGGCGCCCGCGUGAGCAGUCAGUCACAGCGGUGCCCCUGCAAGCCGUGUCGGGGCUGUGGUGGGUGGUGGCCUCAUGGCAUACGUGCGCGCCAGAGCAGAGAAGAGCCCCCGCACCGUGCCAAAGAGAAGCCGCUCCGCUCCUUCCGGGCAAACCACCCUCGAAUGGAGGAGAGCAUGGAGCAACUUGCCACGCCAGUUUGGAAUGCACAAAUCUUGCAAUCCACGAGUGUCUAUCUCAGUGUCUGUGGGCCUGCCAACAUUCUAAAAAAAAUGAUGUCUAUCUUUGA
rnacentral:rRNA from 1 species